rnacentral:rRNA from 1 species
UGCCCGGUGCUGGAAGGUUAAGAGGAGUGGUUAGCUUCUGCGAAGCUACGAAUCGAAGCCCCAGUAAACGGCGGCCGUAACUAUAACGGUCCUAAGGUAGCGAAAUUCCUUGUCGGGUAAGUUCCGACCCGCACGAAAGGCGUAACGAUUUGGGCACUGUCUCAACGAGAGACUCGGUGAAAUCAUAGUACCUGUGAAGAUGCAGGUUACCCGCGACAGGACGGAAAGACCCCGUGGAGCUUUACUGUAGCCUGAUAUUGAAAUUCGGCACAGCUUGUACAGGAUAGGUAGGAGCCUUUGAAACGU